AAGCAGUGGUAUCAUCGCAGAGUACUAGGAAGUCUGUCAACAGUCAACAUACAUGGUGCUUAUAUGCUUAUGACAAUAGGGGUGUAAUACAUUAUUAAUGUCAAUUUUUGCAUUUGCGUUGUUUUGUAAAACGUUACGUACUGUUUUUGGCAUCAUAGCUAUUUUGAGUAUUUUCAGUAAAAUCAGGAAACAUUUUGAUUUUGAUUCUUAAAAGAAGACAAAAAAAACUUAAAUAAGCCAAAUUUGAAAAAUAAACCAAAGGGAAUUUUGAUUUUAAAUAAGCCUAACGUGAGAA